rnacentral:rRNA from 1 species
GAUUAACGCUGGCGGCGUGCAUAACACAUGCAAGUCGAACGAUGAAACUUAAAUGAUUUCUUCGGAAUGAACUUAAGUGAAUUAGUGGCGGACGGGUGAGUAACGCGUGAGUAACCUGCCUUACACAAGGGGAUAGCCGUUGGAAACGACGAAUAAUACCCUAUGAAACUAUCACUUCGCAUGAAGCGAUAGUCAAAGUGUUAGCGGUGUAAGAUGGACUUGCGUCUGAUUAGCUAGUUGGUGAGAAAAAAGCCCACCAAGGCAACGAUCAGUAGCCGGCUUGAGAGAGUGUACGGCCACAUUGGGACUGAGACACGGCCCAGACUCCUACGGGAGGCAGCAGUGGGGAAUUUUGCACAAUGGGGGAAACCCUGAUGCAGCGACGCCGCGUGAUUUAGAAGGCCUUCGGGUUGUAAAAAUCUUUUGUAUAGGAAGAAAAUGACAGUACUAUACGAAUAAGGUCCGGCUAAGUACGUG